GUACUGAUAAAAUUUUUAAAAAUAUUUUUUGAGCAAGACCUUGUCUUUAAAAAAAUAUUUUUUACAUUAGUCUAUUAUUCUAAUAUCUAUAAUAAGAUAAUAUUCGUAUGUUUUAAUCAGCAUUUAUACUGUAAGGAGGUAAAAGUUAUUAGCAUACAAUAUGAAGUUGUAGUAAGAAAAAGUUGGGAGAUAUAGUCUGAUCUAGGUGAACCUCUCAUGUCUCCAAGUUCCUACCCCCCAUGGCUACCUCAGGUACCUCUGACAUCAAAUUCUACUUGUCUUCCCAUUAUUCAUUCUGUUCUGGCCAUACUGGCCUCCUCUUUAUGGGCUCUAGAAUCUUUUAGGGUCUUUGCAUUUAUAAUUCUUUCUGUUUGGAAUAUUCUUCCACCAGACAGCUGCAUAGCUAGCCCUUGCUUCCCUUCAAGAGUGACAUUCUCACAGAGGACUUCCUAACUACCCUAUAUAAAAUUUCAUACACAGCCCAUUCCAAACACAUACUUCAUGUCCCCAUUGUUUAUUUUUUUUCUCUCUGGCACUGAGUAUCUAACAUAUAUAUAUAUAUAAAACUUUUUCCCCAGUAGAAUGCAAGUUCUAUUGGCACAGAUUUUUAUGUUUUUUGUAUAUUUCCUAAAACAAUGCCUGGCACAUAGGAAGUACUUUGUUGAAUGAAUAUCUCCAGCAUACAUUGAUGUCACUGAUAGUAAGUAUACAUGUUAGCAUUUUUUGCUGUAUUAUUUCUCAAACUGAGCUAGCUGAGAGGCGGUUUGUCUUCUGUUCUCCUAAACUGCCUUUGUUCUAAUUAGGAGAGAUGGGGAGGGACAGCUGUCUUACAAAAUAAUUAUUGAUUCUUUUUCUGUUUAAAGAGCAGAGUCCUCCUAGCUUGCUGCCAGUUAACCUUGUUCCUUUUGUAAGUGCCUGCCAAAGGAGGAAUGGGACAGCAUUGUGUGAGAUGGGGCCUUGUAGGUCACAUUAAACCAGUGGUUCUCUGGGGAGAUGAAAAAGUCCUGGAGAUGGAUAGUAGUAAGUAGUUGCACAGCAGUGUAAAUGUACUUAACGCCACUGAAUUGAACACUUAAAAAUAAUUAAAAUAGUAAAUUUUAUGUUACGUAUGUUUAACCACAUCUUAGGGGAGAGAAACUCCUAGGUUCUCAAAGUAUAGUCCAGAACCAGCAGUAGCAGCAUCACCUAGGAACUUGUUAGAAAUGCGAAUUCACAGCCUCCAUUACAGAACUGUGGAUGCAGAAACUGGAGCUUCACAAUAGCCUUGAAAACCAGCAGCCUCACAAGUCACAGUUGCUUUGAAAACCAGCAGUCUUGCAGGCACUGAAGAAGGUGGAAUGGGUUUAGAGUUCUCCAAAACUUACAGCUCGAGAAUUGUUACUAUUUGACUUGUCUGACAGUUUGCUGGAAACCCCAUUCAUAGGGCUUGUCUUUUUUCACCUGACUUGGAGUUUAUUCACUGCAAACAGUGUUUUCCCUGGUGCAUUUGUUGAAAAUAAUCAGCAGUACUUGUUUGACAUAACAUGGAGUGCGUAACAGCUGUAUGCCAAAAAUGACAUAAACCAGAUGAAAUGGACACACCUAAAAAGACAAAAAUUACCAAAACUAAGUCAAGAAAAAAUAAAAAAUCUGAAAAGUCCUAUAACAGGAGAUUGAACUAGUGAUUUUAAAACUUCCUGCAAAGAAAAAGUCCAGGCCCAGAUGACUUCAAUUGUGCAUUCUACCAAACAUUUAAAGAAAAAGAUAGAAUUAAUCUUUCACAAACUCUUCCAAAAUACAAAAGAGGAGGGAUCACUUCCCAGUACAUUGGAUGAGGCCACAUUAUCCUCAUACCAAACCCCCCCGCAAAAAAAAAUCUCAAGAAAACUACAGACCCAUAUAGAUCCCUUAUGAAUAUUGAUGCAGAAAUCCUCAAGAAAAUACUACAAAAUGAAUCCAGUGACAUGAAAAAUUAUAGAUUGUGAUCAAGUGGGAUUUAUGCUAAAAAUGUAAGGUUAGGACUCCUGACUCAACAUCAUUCACCAUGUUAAUAGAAUGAAGGAAAAAAACACACAACCACAUCAGUAAACACAGAGAAAGCAUUUGACGAAAUGCAACUUCUCUUCACUAUAAACACUUAGAAACUAUGAAUAGAAAGGCACUUCCUCAACCUGAUAAAGGGCAUUAAAUGAAAAACCUGCAACUAACAUCUGACUUAAUGGUGAAAGGCCGAAUGCUUUUCUGCCAUGACAUGACAAGGAUGUCCAUUCUCAACAUUUCUAUUCAACACUGUACUGGAGGUUCUCGUUAGCGAAUUUAGGUAGGAAAAACAGUAAGUGGCAAAAGAAGUAAAACUAUAUUCCCAGAUAACAUGAUCAUGUAUAUAGAAAAUCCUAAGGAAUACAUACACACACAUACCCUAUUAGACUAAAUGUUGAACAGUUUUGCAGUAUGCAAGAUAAGUGGGCAAUAAAUGAUGCAAACAUGAAGAAAAUUCCAUUUAUAAUAGCAUCAAAAAGAAUAACGAAGUUUAAAACGUACUCUGGAAAUUGCAAAAACACUACUGAAAGAAAUUAAAGAAGACCCAAAUAAAUGGAAAGACAUCCCAUGUUCAUGUUCAUGGUUUGAGAGACUUAAUAUUUUUAAGAUGAAAGUAUUCCUCAAAUUGAUCUACAGAUUGAACACAAUCCCCAACAGAAUCCCAGCUGGGGCCUUUGCAGAGAUUGGCAAGCUUGUCCUCAAAUUCAUACAGAAAUUUAAGGGACCCUGAGUAGGCAAACUAAUCUUUAAAAAGAAAAGCCAAGUUGGAUGACUCAUACGUCCUGAUUAAAAACUACAAAGCUGUAAUAAUCAAGACUGUGGUGCUGGCAUAAGGACAGACAUCUAGAUCAGUGGAAUAGAACUGAUAGUCCAGAAAUAUACUCUCAUAUUUACGGUCAAUUGAUUUUCUAUAUUGCGCUAAAACAACUCAGGAAAAGAAUAGUCUUUUAAACAAGUGGUGCUGGGAGAACUGGGCAUUUACAUGCCAAAAUAUGAAUUUGGAUCCUUUCCACAUAAAUUAUACUACUAUAACUCAAAAUGGAUCACAGACGUAAAUAUUAGAGCUAAAACUCUGAAAUUCUAGAAUAUAGGAGUAAAUCUUUGUGACCUUGUAUAUGGCACCAAAAGCUCAAGCAAUAAAAGAAAAGAUGGAUAAACUGGACCUCACCUAAAUUAAAUUUUUUUAUACUUCAAAGGACAUCAUUAGGAUAGUGAAAAGAUACUCAUGGAAUGGGAGACUAUAUUUGUAAAUUAUAUAUCAGAUAAGGAAAGAACUCUUACAACUCAAAAAGACAUAACCCUACUUAAAAAAAAUGGGCAGAGGAACUAUAUAGGUAUUUCUCUGGAGAAGAUAUGCAAAUGGCCAAUUAGUACAUGAAAAGAUCCUCAUUAUUACUUUUAGAUAAAUGUAACUUAAGACUACAGUGAGAUACCACUUCAUUCCUACUGGGACAGUUAUAAUCAAAAAGAAAAACAAAUGUGGAUAUGGAUGUGAAGACAUUGGAACCCUCAUAUAUGAAAAUGUGAAAUGUUACAGCCACUUGGAAAAUGGUCUUGUAAUUCCUUAAAUGAUUAAAUGGAGAGUUGUAUCACCCAGUUAUUUCACCCCUUAGUAUAUACCCCACAAACGAAAAUACAUGUUCCUUAAAAACUUGUACACAAAUGUUUAUAACGACGUUAUUCAUAAUAGCCAAAAAGUGGAAACCACCCAAAUGUCCAUUAGUUGACUAAUGUGUAAACAAACUCUGGUAUAGUGGAAUAAAAUUAGUCAAUAAAAAGGAAUCAAGUACUGACAAAUGCUACAGCAUGGAUGAACCUUGAAAAUAUAAGUAAAAGAAGACAGUCAUAAAAGACCACAUGUUGUAUGAUUCCAUUUAUAUAAAAUGUCCAGAAUAUGCAAAUCCAUAGAGACUGAAAUCAAAUUAGUGGUUUUCUAGGGUUGGGGGAAGGAGGAAACAGGGAAUGACUGCUAAUGUAUUCAGGAUUUCUUUCUGGGGUGAUGAAUGUCUUCUGGAAUUAGAUAGUAGUGAUCAAUACACAACUUUGUGAAUACAUGAAAACCACUGAAUUUCACACUUUAAAAGUGAGUUUUAUGAUAGGGAAUUAUGUAUCAAUAAAAGUAUUAUUUUUAAAAUCUUAAACAUGAACAUAUUUCUUGAGAAGUCCACAGUAGUAUCUUUUAACUUGUUAUGUUCAAAAGAUAUAUAUAUAUAUAUUUUUAACAGCAAGGGGGAAAAGUGAGGAAAUGAUGCUUUUCACCAUCAUUGGGAAAACUGCCUCUGUAACCAUGUUUUACUCCUACUGCCUCUCUUACCUCCCCUUACUGCUCCAGACUCUGAGGCUGCAAGACACCCAAGUGGGAGUUUGGAACUUCCAAGGCACAGUCUUUUUAUCCACUAGCAAAUUCAUUUUCAACCACAAAGGUCUGAGGGCACACUCUUACUACAUUCAAUACACGUCUUGGGCAUUCAAUUUCUAUCAUCUAGAGCAUCAUAUAGUGGCAAGGCCCUAGUUAGAUUUAUCUCUGGUGCCUUUCCAGCUUUCAUUUCUGUUCCACUCUUCCACAUCCUAGAGACUCAGGGGCUCUUAGAUGUCUUCUGAUCUCAGGAGCUUAUACCAGACCUGGCCCCAUCUGCAUCACAGUCCCAAGAUCAGAAUUACUCGCCUUUUCUCCCACCUGAUCAAAACUAUUUCUGGUUGUCUCUGCUUCUGAUUUUAAUUAAUUAAAAUUAUUCAUGCUAAAGCUGAAGGUAAGAAUUCCUAAUUAAAACUAAUUUCUUAAAGGUAUUUAUUUUAUGAAGGUAUUUCCUAGCUUUAUUCACUGAAAAGGCAAAAACAGUGACAAACUGAAAAAAAAUGAGCCCCCCACUAAGGAGUCUCUAAAAACAUUUCUUUAAAAGAACCAGAGCCCGUUGAGAGGAAUGUGUGAUUCCAACUCAGGGGCAGAAAACAUUUAAAAUCAGUGUAGAAUAUCUUGUCAGAAAGAAAGCUAUCAAUGACCACUAAGGAUGUGUUGAAAGGACUCGACAGCCAAUUUAGAAGGGUUCCUAAUAACUAAAGAUGGGAUUAAAAGGAACAACUGAAAUAGUCUAGAGCACAUCACAUGUGUAAAAAUGCAACAUAAGGCAGUUGCAAGAAAACCAAUUUGUUCAUUUGAAAACUGGCAAAGGGCAAUAAUCCAGCAUUUAUUCCACAUUUUCUGCUUGAUUUGUGCCUUAAGAUAACCAAAUAGUUAAUGUGAAAGGGGAGAAUACCACCAUUUUGCAAUCCCUAAUUAAAUAAAUGGAUCUAGGUAAUAAUCACCAUUGUCUGCUAACAAAAAAAAAAAAAAAAAAUUAGAUGAAAGGUUGAUGGGGAACCUUAUGAAAGGUGAAUCAGACUGAUAGCAUCUACUGAUCAAUCUUAAUAUGAAAGACAAAAUUGGCAUAUGCCUAUUGAUGUGGCAUAAUAAGACAUACACAGUACCUAUCACCUAUGACAUUCUUGCUAAAAGAUCUAAUCUGAAUCUUUCAGGCCUCAAAAAUCUGUUUACAAGGAAUAGAGGAGUUUGGAGAAUAUGUUGGAUAACACCAUGGGGGUGUGAUAAGCAAAAUCUAAAAUUGAGGGACAUUUUAUAGGACUAAUGACUGGUUUCUUUAACAAAUAAAUGAUUUUAAAAAAUGUAAGAGGAGAGACCUAUAGAUUUAAAGAAACUCAGGAAGCAUUAGCCAUACUCAGUUUGUGCACCUAUUUUGAAUAAGCCAACUGUAAAAAAAAAAAAAA